GUGUUGAAUGAAAAGAGAGAAGGUUAGCACUCCCCUUCAUAAGGAUGGAAGAAGCCCUCGAAAGGGCCUAACAACAUGCAUAGGGUUACGGAGUUACCACUUAACUUCGUGGCAUCUAACUACUGUUUUUA